CAGAGAGCUAUCUCUUUGAUUUCCAGCUCCAUUCCCUCAUGGUUCAUGCUCUCCCAAUGUGCUGUGCUGACAAGGAUGGGUAUGUGGCAUCUCUGUCAUGAAGCCAAGUCAUGGCCUCUGGCAACGCGCACAUAGGAAAGUCGACUCCUGACUUCACGGCCACAGCGGUGGUGGAUGGUACCUUCUAGGAAAUCAAGCUUUCGGAUUACAGAGGGAAGUAUGU
rnacentral:lncRNA from 1 species